GAUGAACGCUAGCGGGAGGCUUAAUACAUGCAAGUCGAACGGUAACAGUAAUAAUUUCGGUUGUUAGCUGACGAGUGGCGCACGGGUGAGUAACGCGUACACAAUCUGCCCAUUACAGGGGGAUAGCCUUGGGAAACUGAGAAUAAUACCCCAUAGUAUUAUAGAUCUGCAUGGAUUUAUAAUUAAAGAGAGAUCGGUAAUGGAUGAGUGUGCGUUCUAUUAGGUAGUUGGUAAGGUAAUGGCUUACCAAGCCGAUGAUAGGUAGGGGGCGUGAGAGCGUGGACCCCCACACGGGUACUGAGACACGGACCCGACUCCUACGGGAGGCAGCAGUAAGGAAUAUUGGACAAUGGGCGGAAGCCUGAUCCAGCCAUCCCGCGUGUAGGAUGAAUGCCCUAUGGGUUGUAAACUACUUUUAGAUGGGAAGAAUAGUAUCUAUUUAUGGAUAUAUGACGGUACCAUCAGAAUAAGCACCGGCUAACUCCG
rnacentral:rRNA from 1 species